AAACCAUUUACAUGAUGAAACCGUCAUGUUGAAUAAAUAUUAGUGAAACGAGCAGCGCGGUGCGGUGCUGAUGUCAGACGUGAUUCACCCGCUUUAGGAAGUGCAAGGAAUUGCAGAAGAGCUAUAGCGCAGGUCUUCAUCAGCAUCACAAAGGGGUAGGAGAGCUCAGCAGGUGACCACUCAUGCAGUUCAUCAGCCUAUUGUUUGCUCUCCUGCUCAGAUGUUAACUUCACUGCAUUGGCUGCUGAGGAGGCUUUGCUGGGUGAAUGGCUUUGGUUUGGGACAGGUAGGCUUGCCUUUUUUCUUGGCUUCCUUCUGUGAUUUUGGAUAAGUCCCUUAUAAUCUUGUGUCUGGUAGCCCAGCUGUGGGCAAGGACUAGGCAGGAGUAUGCUCAGUGCAGAGAUCUAGCAUCCUUCACUCUCUCCUAAGGUAGCCUUGGCCUCCUUUCCUUUCAUUUCACCAGCCAUGUCUUAUUAAUGUCACUAAUUAACACUCUCUCUCAUGCUUGCAGGAUUUGCCAGUUCCUGUAUGCCAAUGGGGUUUGUGCUCUGGCUCACUGUCGGUGCCUUCAGGGAAGCUGAUGCUCUGAGCAGGUUAUGUGCUAGCUCGGAAGACCUCUAUUGCAAGGCAGGAGCGUAAUGAGAAGGGGAGCAGCGAAGCGGCUGCCCCAGGACAAACUGUCUUCAGGUGCCUCCUUGGCUUGACCAACUGCCCGUAACCAUUCUGGGUCUUGAACCAGCUUGUCUCACGAAGAACUGCCCUUUGGAGGUGAUCUUCUUGCUUGUCCUUCCAUCUUCCCUGACGUUUCCACUGCUCCUUUUAUGGGGUCACCGUUGUUACCAUCAGCAGCAACGCCACAAGCCCAA
rnacentral:lncRNA from 1 species